CCUACGGGUGGCAGCAGUGAGGAAUAUUGGUCAAUGGACGAGAGUCUGAACCAGCCAAGUAGCGUGAAGGAUGACUGCCCUAUGGGUUGUAAACUUCUUUUAUAUGGGAAUAAAACGUUCCACGUGUGGGAUUUUGUAUGUACCAUAUGAAUAAGGAUCGGCUAACUCCGUGCCAGCAGCCGCGGUAAUACGGAGGAUCCGAGCGUUAUCCGGAUUUAUGGGGUUAAAAGGGAGCGUAGGUGGAUUUUUAAGUCGGUGGUGAAAGUUUGCGGAUCAACCGUAAAAUUGAAGUGGAAACGGGCAGUCUUGAGUACAGUAGAGGUGGGCGGAAUUCGUGGUGUAGCGGUGAAAGG
rnacentral:rRNA from 1 species